rnacentral:rRNA from 1 species
AUUGAACGCUGGCGGCAUGCUUUACACAUGCAAGUCGAACGGUAACAGGGAGCUUGCUCCGCUGACGAGUGGCGAACGGGUGAGCAAUGCGUCGGAACGUGCCGAGUAGUGGGGGAUAACGCAUCGAAAGGUGUGCUAAUACCGCAUACGUACUGAGGUAGAAAGUGGGGGACCUUCGGGCCUCACGCUAUUCGAGCGGCCGACGUCUGAUUAGGCUAGUUGGUGAGGUAAAGGCUCACCAAGGCGACGAUCAGUAGCGGGUCUGAGAGGAUGAUCCGCUACACUGGGACUGAGACACGGCCCAGACUCCUACGGGAGGCAGCAGUGGGGAAUUUUGGACAAUGGGCGCAAGCCUGAUCCAGCCAUGCCGCGUGUCUGAAGAAGGCCUUCGGGUUGUAAAGGACUUUUGUCCGGGAGCAAAUACCCAGUGCUAAUAACGCUGGGGGCUGAGAGUACCGGAAGAAUAAGCACCGGCUAACUACGUGCCAGCCGCCGCCGUAAGAC